rnacentral:rRNA from 1 species
UAGUCUCCUGAUUGAACGUUGAAGACGACGACGUUGAUAGGCCGGGUGUGUAAGCGCAGCGAUGCGUUGAGCUAACCGGUACUAAUGAACCGUGAGGCUUAACCUUACAACGCCGAAG